rnacentral:rRNA from 1 species
CUACGGGGGGCACCAGUGGGGAAUAUUGGACAAUGGGGGAAACCCUGAUCCAGCAAUGCCGCGUGUGUGAAGAAGGCCUGCGGGUUGUAAAGCACUUUCGGUUGGGAGGACUGCUUCUAGCACUAAUAUUGUUGGAAGUUGACGUUACCUUCAGAAGAAGCACCGGCUAACUCCGUGCCAGCAGCCGCGGUAAUAGCGGAGGGUGCAAGCGUUAAUCGGAAUUACUGGGCGUAAAGCGCGCGUAGGCGGCUAGAUCAGUCGGGUGUGAAAGCCCCGGGCUUAACCUGGGAACUGCCUCCGAUACUGUCUAGCUUGAGUACAGGAGAGGAGAGUGGAAUUCCACAUGUAGCGGUGAAAUGCGUAGAUAUGUGGAGGAACACCAAUGGCGAAGGCAGCUCUCUGGCCUGAUACUGACGCUGAGGUGCGAAAGCGUGGGGAGCAAACAGGAUUAGAUACCCCUGUAGUC